GAUGAACGCUGGCGGCGUGCCUAAUACAUGCAAGUCGAGCGAACGGACGAGAAGCUUGCUUCUCUGAUGUUAGCGGCGGACGGGUGAGUAACACGUGGAUAACCUACCUAUAAGACUGGGAUAACUUCGGGAAACCGGAGCUAAUACCGGAUAAUAUUUUGAACCGCAUGGUUCAAAAGUGAAAGACGGUCUUGCUGUCACUUAUAGAUGGAUCCGCGCUGCAUUAGCUAGUUGGUAAGGUAACGGCUUACCAAGGCAACGAUGCAUAGCCGACCUGAGAGGGUGAUCGGCGACACUGGAGCUGGGACAGGGUCCAGACUCCUACGGGAGGCAGCAGUAGGGAAUCUUCCGCAAUGGUCGAAAGCAUGACGGAGCAACGCCGCGUGAGUGAUGAAGGUCUUCGGAUCGUAAAACUCUGUUAUUAGGGAAGAACAUAUGUGUAAGUAACUGUACACAUCUUGACGGUACCUAAUCAGAAAGCCACGGCUAACUACGUG
rnacentral:rRNA from 1 species